UCAGCUGCUCAAAGGACAUGUCCAGCAGCUGGCCCAGGUCCACACCGCGGUAGGUGAACUUGCGGAAGAUCCGCUGCUUCUUCUCCUCUACCUCUGCCAUCUUGCCGGAUCCUCUGAAAAUGAUUCCGGAAAUCAUCUUUCGGGAAUUUAUCUAAGAAGAACUUCUUAUGAUGAAGUCUCACUCUGUCACCCAGGCUGGAGUGCAGUGGCGCCAUCUUAGCUCACUGCAACCUUCGCCUCCUGAGUUCAAGCAAUUCUCCUGCCUCAGCCUCCCAAAUAGCUGGAAUUAUAGGCAUGGGCCACCACGCCUGGCCAACUUUUGUAUUUUUAUUGGAAACGGGGUUUCACCAUGUGGAUCGGGCUGGUCUCAAAUUCCCGACCUCAGGUGAUCCACCCGCUUUGGCCUCCCAAAAUGCUGGGAUUACAGGUGUGAGCCACUGCGCCCAGCUAGGGUUCUAAUUUUGACCUCUAGUUUCCAUUGUGCUAUUGAUGUAUGCAAUCAUUAAUAAUGUAUUCUUACUGCCAUAAACAAUAAUAUAAAAUGAAUGUAAAUAAGGAAUAAUUUGAAAAUAAUUUUUCUUAGCUGAUGAAAAUAGCUUUUUACAGGUGUUCCCUCAGAAAUCCCAAUUUUCUUAACUAGCAGAUUCUAUUGUUAAUGUUUAUAUAGGUGUCACUGAUACUUCCUUCACUUAUUAUAUUUAUCUCUCCCUCUGCUUCCAAGAUGGUGCCUUGUUGCUGCCUUCUCGCAUGGUGGAAGGCAGACACACAAAAAGGCAUGAUGAUGUUCCCUUCAAACUCUUUUACAUUUAUUAGGGAGAAACCUAAUGACCUCAUCACUUCCCCAAAGACCCCCCCGCCCCCGCUUUAGUACUAUACCAUUGGGUAUUAGGUUCCAACAUAUUAAUUUUAGAAGGAUGUUCUAAAAUUCAUUCAAAUUUAUUUUACUUCAUUUAGUAUAUAUUGACAAAUCAUCCUUAAUAACUUAAAGACAUAUACCAUUUGCUAUGAUAGGUGAUCUAUAAAAUACUUAUUUUAAUUCA
rnacentral:lncRNA from 1 species